UACGGGGGGAGCAAGCGUUGUUCGGAAUUACUGGGCGUAAAGGGCGCGUAGGCGGCCAACUAAGUCAGACGUGAAAUCCCCAGGCUCAACCUGGGAACUGCGUCUGAUACUGGAUGGCUCGAGUUCGGGAGAGGGAAGCGGAAUUCCAGGUGUAGCGGUGAAAUGCGUAGAUAUCAGGAGGAACACCAGUGGCGAAGGUGACACGCUGGGCCAUACCUGACGCUAAAGCGCGACAGCAUGGGGAGCAAACGGG
rnacentral:rRNA from 1 species